UGGUCAAUCUGAGAUUAGUUUUAUACGAAGUAUUUUUCUGUUCUUAACUCACUUUUCUCUUUCCUCAUCAAAUAUUCUACCAUGGAAUCAACACCUUCAGCCUCUUAUUUUUCUCUCUCCUCUCCUCAGCCCUACCAGCCACUGCACCACCACCACCGUAAUUGAGCUCCUAGCUACUUACUCUCUCCUCUGCCUAUCUACACAUCACUCUUUAUGCGCCACCACCUCCGUUUUUCCUCUCUCCUCCAUCUUUCCUUUGUUCAUCUCAUAUCCAAUGAUGUGUUCAUCAGGUGGGUGGCCGGGAUAAUGUAACUACAGGUAACAAAUUUAGCUUGGUAAAAUGUAUAAACAUCUACAAGAGACGCUUUAAAAAAGUUCCCUGGAAAAGAGUGGUGUGCUAUGAUAAAGCCAGCUUUAUAAGUCUUUUAUAACUUGGUUAAAUGUUCAAGGAAAAUCAAAGAGACUACAUACUGCUGAUAGGUUGACUAUGUGUGGUAUCAUCUGUUCUGUUGACUGUGUUCUAUGUAAAAGGCAGCAUGGAAAUCGAUGAAACUAGGCGUGCAUGGGAGAGUUUAGAUUUUGUUCUUUCUAUGUCUGUAUCUAUCGUACUUAUGUUAGCUGGAGCGGUCUCUCUUGGAUGCCAUACGAUGGUGAUAAUUCCAUGUAAAAAAAUUCGUUUUCUGUUCCAAUCAUCUAUAAAGGCAUCACCUUCAUACAUUCCAGAUAGCACUGGAAGAUAAUUUCCUUCACCUUCUGUUCAGUCUGGUGCUGGAGCCCCUGGCUAUCAUCACACUGGUGAGCAGAGUUUUCUGGUUCAUGCCUUGCCCACAGGAACAUCAGCAACAUAUGCAGUCAAUAAGUGGUGGCGGUGACUCUUUUGUGUCUGUAAAUAAUCAGGGUCUUCCAAAUUUGCAUGGAUUAGAUUUGUUCCCAUCUUCGAAUUCAACGUAUCUCAUUCAGGUGUGCUUAUUGAUAGCAUAAAAGGGUACGUUGCUGCAGUAUAUAACCUUUUAUUAACCUCGGAAUCUCUGUAAAAUGGUCUUAGCAUUGUUAAUAAAGCGUCAUAUACUUGUUCAGUAUUCUCAUUGUUUCAUCUUCUACCUCAUUUUGAAAGAGGCUCAUAGAGAGUUAGAAGACAAGCUUAGAGUUGUACACAAUUAUUUAGCUUGUGGAUCUAACGUCGUUGAGAGGUGAAUUUUGUAUUCAUCUUCAUCGGUCAAGACACAUGAAGAUGACUGCUGUCAAAUUCAGUUGGAAGACAAGCCAACAUAUUCAGUUUGUGAUUGAAUAUGGUAAGUUAGAUAGCUGUUAAAUUGGCUAUAAGUUUGGGGCCAUAAGAAAAGUAGGCUCUGAUAUGAUAACGUACAUUAGUUCAAUGAACAACUUAACUUCAAUGUGUGGUGUGGGUUCAGGCUUCGCAUGAUCAAUGUAUGUAGCGCAGCAAUAACAACAGCAAAGCUCGUUCUAGUUUCAUCUACGGCAGAUGUCAGACAUAGAUAAUAUCGUUUCGGAAACAGGAACAGGGAGUCAAUUCUAUUCAGGCUACACAAACUGCUUGUCUUUGUUAUGUUUGUUGAAUGUCACAGACGUAAGUCAAUUUGAAUGUUAGUUCCCCUUGGUCUGACAAAUUUGUAAAAGUAGAUCCUGACUUUGUAGUUUUGUAUCAAUUCUGCCACAUCUCUUUUAUUUUCAGUUAAUGAUUUCAAUCCGAA